AGUGAACGCUGGCGGUGGGCCUAACACAUGCAAGUCGAACGGCAGCACAGUAAGAGCUUGCUCUUACGGGUGGCGAGUGGCGGACGGGUGAGGAAUACAUCGGAAUCUACUUUUUCGUGGGGGAUAACGUAGGGAAACUUACGCUAAUACCGCAUACGACCUACGGGUGAAAGCAGGGGAUCUUCGUACCUUGCGCGAUUGAAUGCGCCGAUGUCGGAUUAGCUAGUUGGCGGGGUAAAGGCCCACCAAGGCGACGAUCCGUAGCUGGUCUGAGAGGAUGAUCAGCCACACUGGAACUGAGACACGGUCCAGACUCCUACGGGAGGCAGCAGUGGGGAAUAUUGGACAAUGGGCGCAAGCCUGAUCCAGCCAUACCGCGUGUGUGAAGAAGGCCUUCGGGUUGUAAAGCCCUUUUGUUGGGAAAGAAAAGCAGCAGGUUAAUACCCCGCUGUUCUGACGGUACCCAAAGAAUAAGCACCGGCUAACUUCGUG
rnacentral:rRNA from 1 species